rnacentral:ncRNA from 1 species
CCGUCUAAUAACACAAGGUCUUGGUCUUAAACCUCCCGUUGUCUAAACUCCAUACUUAUACAUGCAAGCCUCAACACGACAGUGAAACAGCCCACCACAACCGCCCACGGAGCCGGUAUCAGGCUAUCGCCCAUAACACCAAGCACACAGCCACACCCCCACGGGCCCGCAGCAGUACUUAAUAUUAGGCCAUGAGCGCAAGCUUGACCUAAUAAAGGAAUUUACAGGGCCGGUUAAUCUCGUGCCAGCGACCGCGGUUACACGACAGACCCAAGACAACACCUACGGCGUAAAGCACGACUAAAACCACAAGUUAUCAUAUUUAGAGACGAAGACAAGCUAGGCUGUAAAAAGCCAUAAGUCACACUAAACACACAACCCUAAUACUAAACAACUUCAACUCGUGAAAGCCGGGGUACAAACUAAGAUUAGAUACCUUACUAUGCCCAGCCAUAACAAAACAAUCAAAUAACUAAUUGUUCGCCAAAUAACUACGAGUAAAAACUUAAAAUUUAAAAGACUUGACGGUACUUCACACCAACCUAGAGGAGCCUGUCAAAUAACCGAUAAUCCACGAUUAACCCAACCCACUCUAGCCCAACAGUCUAUAUACCGCCGUCGCCAGCUUACCUUGUGAAAGAAAUAAAGUAAGCCUAAUAACCCACCAUUAACACGACAGGUCGAGGUGUAACCAAUGAGUCGGACCAAGAUGGGCUACAUUUUCUAACCCAGAAGAAACGAACAGACUAUGAAACUAGAAACUGAAGGCGGAUUUAGCAGUAAGAUGGGAAUAGAUAUACCCAGCCGAAACUAAUGCAAUGAAGUGCGCACACACCGCCCGUCAUCCCUGUAAACACACAACUUAUAUCCAUAAAACCUACCCACAUUUAAAGCAGGGCAAGUCGUAACAUGGUAAGCGUACUGGAAAGUGCGCUUAG